rnacentral:rRNA from 1 species
UCCGGUUUGACCUCGGAUCAGGUAGGAAUACCCGCUGAACUUAAGCAUAUCUAC